AUGACAUAUAUACUAAAAUUGGAACGAUACAGAGAUUAGCAUGGCCCCUGCGCAAGGAUGACACGCAAAUUCGUGAAGCGUUCCAUAUUUAA
rnacentral:snRNA from 1 species